GGAGAGGUGAAAAAAAAGCUCUCCUGUCAGAGCCGGAAAGGCGAUGGCGAAUUGAGCUUAGCACAGAGAAUGCAAAGCGGUCACGGCAGCUUAGCCAUUAGCCGAGUUUUCGUUAUGAUGCAGUUAUGCGUGCUGUGUCCUUUAAGAGUUUGUGCACGCGCACGAUAGAGAGAGUGCGCGUCAGAGGGGAACAGAGAGCGCGCUGAUUGAAGCAGCAGGUAAAAGUGAGGAGAAAAUAGUUGAUAAGAAAUUGUUAAAUGGAUAUAAUCCAGGCUGAUUAUCAACUCGUGGACCUGUGGUGGUUUUAGUUGUGUGACUGCACCGAGUGGAUGACUUAAGUCAGUGUUUAUAUUAGUGUUUGUUGCCGCAUAUGAGAGAUCUCCGGUGGGGGAGGGGAUUCAGGCCUACUUCGACGGAGAUUGAGCAGGGGAGAACAAGCUGGUGAGAUCGCAUGUGCCAGUUUCCACGUGAUUGAUAAUCCGGAGUCUCAUAUAACACACGGCAUUUAGGACCUGAGGUAACAAGAGCGAGUGUGAUGGUGUGACUCUUUGAGGCGACGCACUAAUGGACGUCCCACUGGGCCAAAGUGGUUCGGUGCCGUGAGGAGAAGGUGCCUGAGUAAUCGGCCCCGUCACGGCCUUGCCGAGAGCCUGGGGAGUGAAUCAGCACAGCUGGGAAGCAGACAUCAGUCUCACUAGGCCUUCGGGACGGGCCACUCCUCCUCCUCCAGGGAACUGUUCCCUCGUUUUUCAAAAGAGAUAUUGAGAAUGGGAAGGCGUUUCAGCUAGCACAUAAACACUUCCUUAAUUUGCUUGGUUAGUCCUUAAUAAUUUUUGUUUUGGAAGGAAGCAGAGUUCUUUAAUUUGUUUUUCUCAGUGCUAAAUUCCUCUUCAGUCUGUAAGAAAAUAAAGCGCUUCCUGAAAGUAAUGUAAAGGAUGUGGUUUACGUACUAAUAUCUUCAUAAUUGCGUUAUUUUUUGUACUAAUACCAAACUUAUUUCCCUCUCGUCCCGGUAACAAAGGAAAAUUACUCCCCUUAGGAUUCCUGUUUGUUAAAAAUAACAUCUUCAGCUGCUGCAGAUUCAAGGGUCUGUGUCAUCAGGAAGUUUGAAAACCCAUUCUCCGGGAACGAGAGAGGAGGAGGAGGAAGAGAGAAAGAAAGAUGACACUGUGACGGGACACGGACAGAUAUGAAGUAAUGACUGAUUUGAUCAGAGCACAGUGGGGACCUGCCUCUUCGGUAAUGAGGACGAAAGCUAAUUAUGAGACCCUCAGGUUUCCUCCUGCUGGGACGCUGAGGUUACCGCUGACCUGUGAGGAGAGAUGGGAUGUCUGAAGCAGGAGUUCACAGUGAUGGACCGGCCCAUGGGAGUCCAUUAACAGGUCAGGAGGUGGUGAAAGGAGCAUGGGCUAAAUUCAUUAGCACUCUCCAGCUACCAUCCGAGUGUAUCGAGCGGUGGAACAGAGCGCAAUGCUGCAGGUGUGUGAGUGUGUGUGUGUGUGUGUGUGUGUGUGUGUGUGUGUGUGUGUGUGUCUAUUUCUACCAUUUGUCAACGGAUUGGUUCUUAAUUCAAACUGAUUUGUC
ensembl:lncRNA